GGGUGAUCUGGCUGUGACACCUGUCACCACAUUGAUCGCCAGGGUUGAUUCAGCUGAUCUGGCUGGCUAGGCGGGUGUCCCCUUCUGAGGACUGGGCUUCCGUUAAGUGUAUAUAAGUAGCUGCGUUUCUCUGCUAGAACCUCCAAACAAGCUCUCAAGGCCCAUUUGUAGAAGGGACCCUAUUACCAAAGAAAAGUCUCUUU
rnacentral:snRNA from 1 species